rnacentral:rRNA from 1 species
GAUGAACGCUGGCGGCGUGCCUAAUACAUGCAAGUCGAGCGAACGGACGAGAAGCUUGCUUUUCUGAUGUUAGCGGCGGACGGGUGAGUAACACGUGGAUAACCUACCUAUAAGACUGGGAUAACUUCGGGAAACCGGAGCUAAUACCGGAUAAUAUUUUGAACCGCAUGGUUCAAAGGUGAAAGACGGUCUUGCUGUCACUUAUAGAUGGAUCCGCGCUGCAUUAGCUAGUUGGUAAGGUAACGGCUUACCAAGGCAACGAUGCAUAGCCGACCUGAGAGGGUGAUCGGCCACACUGGAACUGAGACACGGUCCAGACUCCUACGGGAGGCAGCAGUAGGGAAUCUUCCGCAAUGGGCGAAAGCCUGACGGAGCAACGCCGCGUGAGUGAUGAAGGUCUUCGGAUCGUAAAACUCUGUUAUUAGGGAAGAACAUAUGUGUAAGUAACUGUGCACAUCUUGACGGUACCUAAGCAGAAAGCCACGGCUAACUACGU